UGCAGAAUGAAAUGAACAAUCUAAGGACAUCUAAAGAGUUUAAUCCCAAGUUUGAGAGGAGGUCUCACCUCCUCCUGAGCAGCUUUCCGGAUGUUCUUCUUUGCUUGUAAGUUAGCAUUCCUUGGGCUCAUAUGCAAACUGAAAACAUGAAGCAGGGCUGGCAAUUGUUAGAAGCAUAAAAAUUAAAAACUGAAAAAAAUAUGAAAGGUACUUGUACAGCUGGGGAAAGCAAAUAAGCAGAUAAAAAAAAAAAGAUAUAGCUAGGAAAC